UACGUAGGGUGCGAGCGUUGUCCGGAAUUAUUGGGCGUAAAGGGCUCGUAGGCGGUCUGUUACGUCGGGAGUGAAAACUCGGGGCUCAACCCCGAGCCUGCUUCCGAUACGGGCAGACUAGAGGUAUGCAGGGGAGAAUGGAAUUCCUGGUGUAGCGGUGAAAUGCGUAGAUAUCGUUUGGAACGCCAAUGGUGAAAACAGCUCGCUGGGGGUGUGCUGACGCUGAGACACGAAAGCCAGGGGAGCGAACGGG
rnacentral:rRNA from 1 species